AUAUACCAAAGAUGAGUUAGUGUUCACUCAGGCCAGAAAUGGAGUGACGGUUUUGCCCUUCCUACUCGCCUCAACUACAAUUUUGCCAUAAUUUUACGGAUAAGGGUGAUGGAGACCAUCGGGAGAGAGAUAUGUUGUCUCAGAGACGAAACAGCCCAAACAUCCGAGAGCGGUAGAGGGUUUUUAGAUUGGAGAUUUGGGCAAAUCUAGGUUUGUUAAUCGGUCUGUGUUGGGCGAAGAGGCUCUUUUGUAUCUGUUCUUUCGAUUUGAUACUCCAAUAGCAUCUGCAGCAUUUAAAAGCUGUGUGUGUGGAAACUGUCAUCGGUUGAUCUGCAAGUGGUUAGAGUGAAGGUUCAGUUGAUUAACUGUUAAGUUAGGACGAAAGAGGCUAAGGUUCUAAUCUUCGUCAUAGAUGCUAUUAAUGAAUAGUUGUAUUGAAGACGCAUGUUUAUAGGUCGUAUCUAACCAAGCUCAGAAUUUCAAUUUUGGCUUUCGAUUGUUUUCCUCCAUUUCUCGAGGGUGUUUACUUUUAAUUUAGAGUAAAGCAAUAAAUCUGCAGUCUAAGCUUAUGAUGACUACACUUGGGAAAACCAACUGAUAAAGACCAGAAUAGAGUAUAUAAAUCAUACACACAUUCGGAAACCAGAAAACAAA